rnacentral:rRNA from 1 species
GACGAACGCUGGCGGCGUGCUUAACACAUGCAAGUCGAACGGAAAGGCCCUGCUUUUGUGGGGUGCUCGAGUGGCGAACGGGUGAGUAACACGUGAGUAACCUGCCCUUGACUUUGGGAUAACUUCAGGAAACUGGGGCUAAUACCGGAUAGGAGCUCCUGCUGCAUGGUGGGGGUUGGAAAGUUGCGGCGGUUGGGGAUGGACUCGCGGCUUAUCAGCUUGUUGGUGAGGUAGUGGCUUACCAAGGCUUUGACGGGUAGCCAGCCUGGGAGGGUGACCGGCCACAUAGGGACUGGGAUACGGCCCAGACGCAUACGGGAGGCAGGAGUGGAGAAUUUUGCACAAUGGGCGGAGGCAUGAAGCAGCAACGCCGCGUGCGGGAUGACGGCCUUCGGGUAGUAAACCGCUUUCGCCUGUGACGAAGCGUGAGUGACGGUAAUGGGUAAAGAAGCACCGGCUAACUACGU